GAUGAACGCUGGCGGCGUGCUUAACACAUGCAAGUCGAGCGAGUGAGUUCUUCGGAACAAUCUAGCGGCGGACGGGUGAGUAACACGUGGGCAACCUGCCUCAUAGAGGGGAAUAGCCUCCCGAAAGGGAGAUUAAUACCGAAUAAAAUUAUCGAGUGGCAUCACAUGAUAAUCAAAGGAGUAAUCCGCUAUGAGAUGGGCCCGCGGCGCAUUAGCUAGUUGGUGAGGUAACGGCUCACCAAGGCGACGAUGCGUAGCCGACCUGAGAGGGUGAUCGGCCACAUUGGGACUGAGACACGGCCCAGACUCCUACGGGAGGCAGCAGUGGGGAAUAUUGCACAAUGGGGGAAACCCUGAUGCAGCAACGCCGCGUGAGUGAUGAAGGUCUUCGGAUUGUAAAGCUCUGUCUUUGGGGACGAUAAUGACGGUACCCAAGGAGGAAGCCACGGCUAACUACGUGCCAGCAGCCGCCGCAG
rnacentral:rRNA from 1 species